GCCAGGCACGGUGGCCCAUGCCUGUAAUCCCAGGAGCUUGGGAGGCUGAGAGAGAAGGAUCGGGAGUUCAAAGCCAGCCUCAGCAAAAGUGAGGUGCUACACAGCUCAGUGAGAUCCUGUCUCUA
rnacentral:sRNA from 1 species